UACGGAGGAUGCAAGCGUUAUCCGGAUUCAUUGGGUUUAAAGGGUGCGCAGGUGGGCUUGUAAGUCAGUGGUGAAAUACUGCCGCUUAACGGUAGAAUUGCCAUUGAUACUGUGAGUCUUGAGUAUGGUUGAGGUAGGCGGAAUGUGUUGUGUAGCGGUGAAAUGCAUAGAUAUGACACAGAACGCCGAUUGCGAAGGCAGCUUACUAAGCCAUUACUGACACUGAGGCACGAAAGCGUGGGGAGCGAACAGGAUUAGAUACCCUGGUAGUCCACGCCGUAAACGAUGAUCACUCGCUGUUUGCGAUACACAGUAAGCGGCUGAGCGAAAGCAUUAAGUGAUCCACCUGGGGAGUACGAUCGCAAGGUUGAA
rnacentral:rRNA from 1 species